rnacentral:rRNA from 1 species
CAGCCGCCGCGGUAAGACGGAGGGUGCUAGCGUUGUUCGGAAUCACUGGGCGUAAAGGGCGCGUAGGCGGCCUGUUAAGUCGGAUGUGAAAGCCCGGGGCUCAACCCCGGAACUGCAUCCGAGACUGGCAGGCUUGAGACCGGGAGAGGAGGGUGGAAUAUCCAGUGUAGAGGUGAAAUUCGUAGAUAUUGGAUGGAACACCGGUGGCGAAAGCGGCUCUCUGGCCCGGAUCUGACGCUGAGGCGCGAAAGCGUGGGGAGCAAACAGGAUUAGAUACCCGUGUAGUCCCUGUCUCUUAUAC